UCCCUGGUGGCUCAGCUGGUAAAGAGUCCGCCUGCAAUGCGGGAGACCUGGGUUCGAUCCCUGGGUUGGGAA
rnacentral:tRNA from 1 species